UUUUCUGACUGCAUAAUGGUUGUCCAGUUGUCCAUGAAGCUUCUUUCCCUGCAUCCCUCACAUUGUUCAUAAUUUCAGGUACUCUUUAGGCAUUCAUAAUUCAGAGUAGCACUCAGUCAUGAUAUUAAUGUUUAAGAGUACUUUCUUGCUCCCUCCAACUUAGACCUUUAAUUCAGCUUUUGAUUUACUCUGAUUUCCUCUCUUCUGAGAAACUCUGCUUCCCAUCUUACUUUCUCUGCAAAAGAUUUAAACUUAAUCCACAGUCUGAACAUCCUUGAAUGCCCGCCUGUAACUCAAAAUCUGAAUCUAGAACAGCUUUUUCUUUCAAAGGCACUGAGCAGAGCAAAUGUGCUACUUAUGACUUGCAUUUUGGUUAGUGCCAUGUACACACACAGAAGCAUCUGCAUCUGUGCCUUUCUGUAUUUUGGUCCGCACUGUGUGUCCUCUUGUGCAGAGUUACAGGUGUUACUAGAUUCUUCUUUGGGGUCUGCAGAAAUAUGUGCCAAUGAAGCAGUGCCCAGCUGUGGAAAGUUGAAAUGCAGAUCUCACCUGAAGCAUGAAGGUUCCUCUUGUGUGCUGGAGAUGUCUGAGCUCCAUUAGUUCUUGAUGCUGGUGGCCCCAGGAAAGUGGCAAUCCUUCAUAAAGAAAGUCCCAGACUACCUCUGGAUCCUGGACUCCCCACAGUGAUACUCGUCUCCACUUAGGAAACCUUGUGUUGGGUUCUGGUUCAGUGGGAGGUCAAGGGGGGCAAUGGAUUCUCCUGGAGAUGGGCUACGCAGAUAUACUGAAGGAGCAGAGAUAAGCUGACCCACCUCUUAACAA